AUUCUAUGUCAUCAGUGCUCCAAGGAAGAUCAAUGCCAGGAAACCAGCAGAAUGAAUCUGCCUUCCCAGCACUGCUCAGGUGCCUGUGGACCCCGGCAGAAAAGCAUCCAGAGAACGUUUGCCCCGGCCCCAGCCUGACUGCAGAGAGGGCUGCUCGAUCAUCCAAGGGCUCGGUGCCAGUCUUUCUGGCAGUCUGCAAGCCGGAGACCCACGGAAGCUCAUUGAGGAGAACGGAAGCCACCGACAGACCCAG